UUUCCGUAGGUGAACCUGCGGAAGGAUCAUUAUUGGAUUUUGAAACUUCAGGCUGCUGCUGGCUCUCCUCGGAGGGCAUGUGCACGCUUGUUGUCCAUUAUUUCUCCCACUGUGCACAAAUUGUAGACCUUUCAGUAGGCCUAUGUUGUUUUUCACAAUCUCUGAAAGUAAUAGAAUGGUUUUGAAUCUUGGGAAAUACAAUACAACUUUCAGCAACGGAUCUCUUGGCUCUC
rnacentral:misc_RNA from 1 species